CUUGAGGAUCUUCAAAGAACCUUUAGAAUUCCACUGAUCCUAGUUUGAGAAACACUUUUAGAGUAGUAGAGCUGGAGAACUGAAAAUGUUAGGGUUUCUUUGUUCACGUUUUUUUUCUAUUCCUACCCAUAGGUUCAGUUCUCUGAUCCUUCAGACCACAGAGACCAUUUCUAAUGCUCACUAAGAAAUAUUUGUCAUUAGCACACACGAGCACUUGUCCACUGUUAUCAGGUGAUAGUAAAAGCCCUAGACAACUCAGCAUCUCUGCCUUAUUUGUUUCAUCUUAUGGAGUGCGGAACAGAGAUUGUCAAAGGCCUGUUUUUACCUCAGAAGCUUUGUUAGGAUUUUGUGAAAGCUUGGAGAAGUGUCUGUUCGGUUCACAGCAGUCUCCAUGGAUACAUUAUUAGAAAAAUACACUUUGUUUAUGAGGAAGGAAUGGUCGGACUGCAGGACAUUAGUUUUCAGCACCACGGAGAGUUCACGCUCUCGGUCCUCGCCUUUGGUUGGUGGUUAGCUACAUAACUCAGCGCUGCAUGGUGAAGUCCUGCCCCUUUUCACAGAACAGUUUAUCUGUCCAGACUCCAGGCAGCCAUGCAGGCAACACUAGUGAUUGUCUCCAUUGAAUUGACACCUUCACCUGGACAGAGGUAUAGCAUGGAUGGGCCACACUGAGAGCAGUCUCUUGGUGACCGCGUCUGAAGAUAUGUAUGUACCUUUUAAAACUGCACCUGUGUUGGUAUGAGGGGGAAGGCGAGUAGAAGAAGGUGACCGAGCCGGGAGGAGAGAGAGCACAGAUGGCUUGGUGGUGGUAUGGUGUGGUGAGUCGUGGGGAGGAAGGGGGGUCUGCAGAGGUUGGGGGUGGGCAGAAUGAGGACCCGGUUUUCCUCUUUCAUUUUGCUGUAGAUGAAGGAGAGAGAGAGAAAAAGAGAGAAAGGGGGUGGGGAGAGAAGCGAGACAGAUGGCAGAGUGGAGAGGCGGCAGCCAGCGCCGGCACUGCCCAGCCUGGGCGGACCCAGCUCCCCCGCCUGCCAGCUCUCCAAAUGCCACCCUUCCCCCAUCCUCCCCUUCCCCCAUCCCCCCCAGCUUGGCACUGAUCUCGGAGGGAAAGGGAGGGAGGCUGGGCAAAGAGCAUCUGUUCCCUCCAUUCUCCCAGCUCCAUCGGCUGCCAACCUAGGGCCAUCGUCUGCCUCCAUCACCCCUCCGCCCGCCCGCCUACCCACCCAAUCCCAAAUGGGUGCUGGAUCAGGUGCCGAAUCUGGCUGCCUCCUCGGGCAUAAGGAGUGGAAUGACAGACAGAAAGCAGCGUGA
rnacentral:lncRNA from 1 species